rnacentral:rRNA from 1 species
AUACGUAGGGGGCGAGCGUUGUCCGGAAUGAUUGGGCGUAAAGGGCGCGUAGGCGGCCCGGUAAGUCUGGAGUGAAAGUCCUGUUUUUAAGAUGGGAAUUGCUUUGGAUACUGUCGGGCUUGAGUGCAGGAGAGGUAAGUGGAAUUCCCAGUGUAGCGGUGAAAUGCGUAGAGAUUGGGAGGAACACCAGUGGCGAAGGCGACUUACUGGACUGUAACUGACGCUGAGGCGCGAAAGUGUGGGGAGCAAACAGGAUUAGAUACCCUGGUAGUCCACACUGUAAACGAUGAUUACUAGGUGUGGGGGGACUGACCCCUUCCGUGCCGCAGUUAACACAAUAAGUAAUCCACCUGGGGAGUACGGCCGCAAGGUUGAAACUCAAAUGAAUGGACGGGG